CGUGCCAGCUGCCCUCCCACCGGCCCUUUGCACGCGGCCGCUGCACGCUCGGUCCUGCUGGUGGGGAGGGGCAGGGGCACUUUUCGGUUGUGCAGAUGGAGAGGAGAGAAAAAGACUCAACCUAAACGGCUGCCGAGGCGGGGUGGGGCGCGGGGCAGCAGGAGCGGCCCCGCCCGGCCUCCCAGGAACCCGGCCCGCAGGCUGCGGAAGCCGCCCCGGCCCUCCCGGCCCCGCCGCCCCCACCACCCCGGGCCUCUGGAAGACCCGGACGCAGGAUGAGCUCAGCGGAGGCGGAGGCAGUGGCAGAAAACGACUUUUCCAAACCCACAGCAGGGAGCGGGCAGGGAGGGCAGGCCUCGAUCCAGGCGGGACCCCUCCCGCGUGCUGCAGCCCGGCGCCCUGCAGGGGCUCCAGGGAAGAAGUGGGGGGGGGGCAGGCGUCAGAGCAGCCCCCCACCCACCCACCACACCCCGCGCCCCCCCCGACGGAGGGGAGCCGCCUGGCCAAGGCUGGACUACCCUACAAGGCCACCAGGCAGCUGGCCAGCGGCGGGAGGGCCCUUUCCACUUCUCUCGGGCAGCUGAGGAAGCAACAACAGUGGCCGGUUCCGCCUCAGAAACGCUGUCCAGCUCCCAGCCUCUCCGGGCCUGGCCUCCGCGUCCGCUCCUGCCACCCACUCCCGCAUUGAGCUCGGCCACCCAGCUGGGUACCUUUUCCCUCACCCAUGGGUGAGCGUGUGCCAGGCUGGCAGGGAGAACGCAGGCUGCUGCUUGGAAGCCGGGGUCACCUCCUCAGUGGUUGGCUGUCCACCCGCCCUGAUGACCGAGCCCACCACUGCCAGGCUGCCCGGCCGGUCACCGUGAGGCCGACCUGGUAUGGGCAGGAAAACCAGGGCAGAGCCGCUGGAAGGCCACACAGCCAGAGAUGGCUGGACCCACAGCCGCUCACAUCAGCUUGGGUGAACCCCACAUGCAAGGUCAAGCCAAAGAAACCAGGGCACAAGAGGACACCAUGUGGUCCUGUUCCAUUUUGUCAAUGUUUGGAGCAGGCAAAGGGCACCAAGCGUACGCCUGACGUGGGUGCACUUUUCUGCACGUCCGUUACUAUUCGGUAAAUAAAGCACCUACGGCCAGUUGCAACCCACCUUCCGCCCCCUCCCCUUUCCCGUCACCUGCCCUGCCGUCCUUGUGCUCCCGCUUCUCUCCCUCCCCUUCUGGUAUUAUAAGGUCAUAGAACCGUGGGUUCAGGAAGCACCUUACACGUCGCCCAGACUAACGUCCCGUAUUUGUCCAUGUAACUCCCUCUGCCGCACUCCCAGUGUUUGUUUCAGCCAAAGCAGCGGUGGAUCCACCAAGACAGCCUGGUCCGGUUUUUGGAUAAUUCUAACCACAGGGAAGUGGUUCCCCUUUGUGCUACCAUCUGCCCUCGGGGACUCUGCACCGUGGGAUCCCCAGGAGAAAGCCCUGACCGGCCAGGCCCUUCCCAGGCUUGAAGGAAUGCCACUCUUGUCCAGGAGCGGAAGCUUUUUGCCAUUUGGGGCUGGGUGCUCCAAAGGCCCUGGGGAUUUUUGACGUUCCCCCUUGUGCUGGUUUGAAGCUAUUAUGUACCCCAGAAAAGAUCAUGUUCUUUCAAUCCACUCCUGUGGGUGCAGAACUACUGUGGGUGGGACUUUCUGGUUAGGUGGUUUCAGUUGAGAUGUGACUCAGUCAUUCAAGGUGGGUCUUAACCCUUUACUGGAGUCCUUCAUGAGAGGAUAAAGGACAGCAAAAGCCCAGAGAGCUCAGAGAGAGAAAUACCCAGGGAAGUUUGGAGAGAAUUUUCAGAGAAAAGCCCCCGCGGAGCCAAGAAAGCCACUGAAGCCAGAAGCUGGAAGCAAUGGCCCCUGGAGAGAAGGACCAGCAGAGGCGGCCCUGUGCCUUCCCAGUGACUAAGGUGUCCCGGAUGCUGGCAGCCCUUUCUUCAGAGGUUUCAUCUUGGUGAUGCCUUAACUUGGACAUUUUCAUGGCCUUAGAACUGAGAAUGUGUAAACUAAUAAAUCCCAUCGUAAAAGCCAACCCAUUUCUGGUAUACUGCCUUCGGCAGCUUUAGCAAACUUAGGUUUCCUUCCAGGUGACAUCUACGCAGUCCCAUCAGAAAAGGCCACCGGGAGGUCACUGAGGGCCUUUCUCGGGGCAGUUUUAUGGAGAGGUGGUGCCGGAAGAGAUGUGCUGCCCUUCUGGGACAUGAGCUUGUUCAGCUCGUGGCUGCCUCCUUCGAGAAUGUUCUGGCCUGGUCCACCCCCGGGGGCCUGCAGGCCUGUGGUGUCAGGUGAGAACUUCCUGCUGCGGUCCCAGCUCUGAGGUGCGGCAGGAGCUUGAGGGCGAUGUGGGUGCAGAUGGAGUGGCUGCUGUGGGACUGGAGCUCGGGGUGCCUGCAGCCACUGGGAGGAAGAGCCAAGGAGAGGGACAGAGCGCUGCCUGCAGGAGGGCUCCCGGGGAGUGGGGCAGCCAGUGGGUAGGGGCACCGUGGCGUGUGGGGAGUGAGUGACGGUCAGGCAGUCGAGGACGUCCGGCCCGCUGACAGCGCAGAGGCCUCAGCGGCACGGUCAGUGAGCCUGGAGCCUGCUGAGGGCACGGAGGAAGCUGACCGUGACACGGAAGGGGAAGGGGGCCGAGGGGAGGCAACCCAGCGGCCGGGCAGUGGUCAGGUGGGCAGAGCCGAAGAGCAGGCGGGGAGGGAGUCCGAGGCAGAGCAGGGGCCUGGGAAACAACGGCGGGAGGGGCUGACAGACCCCGAGAAAGUGGACUGGGCGAGUGCCCAGAGGAAGUGGCAAGCUUGGGGACAGAGGGGUCUCCUGGGCAGCAGAAAACAUGGAAGGAACAAAGAGGGCUUUGGGGAAAGCCGGAAAGCUCGGGUUUGCUCGCCUAGGUCCCCUGCUCCUACGUCUGUGAUGACCUCGAGAUGGACAGGGCUGCUUUCUUCCAACUCUUGCUGCACUUUAACUGUCAGCCAGUCCCUCCUUGUUGGUCAGAACCUGGCUGGCGGCUUUAGAGGAGAUGACUGUGCCGAGAGAACACCGUGGAAUUCCACAAUUGAUAGGAAGGUAGAGAGCUCGGCUCAAGGAAACAGCCAGUGGCCAAGGGGCCCUGGGCAGCGGUGACCAGGCAGGGGCCCUGCCAGGAGGAGCCUGGGGAGCACUGCCGUCCUGGGGAUCCUGGGUCCUGGGGAGCACGUCUGUGUCCUGGGGAGCACUGACGUCCUGGGGAUCCUGGGUCCUGGGGAGCACAUCUGUGUCCUGGGGAGCACUGCCGUCCUGGGGAUCCUGGGUCCUGGGGAGCACUUCUGGGUCCUGGGAGCACUGCUAUCCCUGUGUCCUGGUGUCCUGCUCCCUGGGACCAUCCAUCUUUCCUCAGGAGCAUCCACUGGCUCAGCCUAGCUCCAGCUCCCAGGAUGUGGCACAAAGGCACCACGGGGAAUUUCCCCAACACAGGAAGAAUGUCCAAAUUCAGGGAUCACCACCCUGAAAACAACCACCACAACAAUGUACUUCCAUCAAAGAAACGAAGAUAAGACAAGAGCCAAAUUUUGGGAUUUACUUAUUCACCAAAUCCCUACAAGAUGAGGCUGUUUCAGCACCUAGCACAGUCUCGUCAGUGUUCUGGCGUUGGGGAUCCAGUGAGGAACCCCAGACCUCCUCCUCCUCAGGAACUUAAUACGGGGGCAGGCGACAGGCAAACAGAUGUAUUUCAGGGGCCGACGGGCUGGCGAGAAAAGAAAGAAGAUGGAAGGUGCUGGGGCUCCUCAGGAGGUCGGUGCAUCUGAGUGGAGGCCAGAGAGAGAUAAAACAUGGCUGCUGGGACUUGCUUCAGAAUAAUCUUUGGAGGACAGUGGGGAACGGGACUGGUGAGGGUGAAGUGCCCUUCGACCGCCAGAAGCCAGUAGCUGCUGAAGUGCAGCACAGCAGAAGACCACAGGGCCUCCACUGGGCUAUUCUCCACUUCUGUGAAGGUCUGAAAUUUUCUUUAAUGACACUUUAAAAACAAGCAAGUAAGAGUGAUUCUGGCCAGAUGGUGAAGACCAGCCGCAGGGAGAGCAGAAGCUGGGAGGCCAAUAGGGUAUUUGGAAAAUUGAAAAGAGCCCAGAGAAAAUAAAAGUCACUUAUAUUAUUCUCAAUAACCAAAUGCUGCUUUUUCCCUCAAACAAAAUUGGGAUCACGCUUUACAUACGGUUUUGUAACCUUUUUCCAUUUUAGCAUUAUUUCCUUAACCUCUCUCUCUUCCAAAACACUGUCCAGUAUUCUGCAUUGUGGGUGGAAUUCGGUUGGCGGUGAGGCCCGGGGGCUGUUUCUAA